GAGUUUGAUCCUGGCUCAGGACGAACGCUGGCGGCGUGCUUAACACAUGCAAGUCAAGGGGUAGCAAAUACCACUGGCGCACGGGUGAGUAACGCGUAGAUUAUCUGCCCCUAUCUCCGGAAUAACAUCAAGAAAUUGGUGCUAAAAAACGGAUGAGGCACAAAUGUGUCAAAGGUAACGGAUAGGGAUGAGUCUGCGUCUAGAUUAGCUAGUUGGUGAGGUAACGGCUCACC
rnacentral:rRNA from 1 species